UGAUGGCUCAUUAUUAUAUGAUAGUGGGUGAGUUAAUGGGUGCUUAGUGGUGAGUUAGUGUAGGCUAGAUUCAAUGUAUCUAGGAGCCUAUAAAUUGUGAGGAUGGUUUAGCCUAAAGUAAAGAAGAAGGAAGAGAGGUGGAAACACAAGAAGAGUUGUGUAUUGUAAUCCUAUUUUCCUAAGUAGUAGAAUACUUAGUUUUUUUGGGAACCUCUGCCUCUCUCUCUUCUCUCCUUUUUGCAUACUUAGUCGUAGGGCAUGUAGGUCCAAGCUAGCAACAAGGAGCUAAGUUUGCCCAUCUUCGAACAGGAAGGCAGCGCUGCAUGCGUUUUGCGAACAAAAAUGCUAAAGCCGUGACAACUUGCUAUAAUACACCUCAUAUUACAGAAUAAAUUAAAGAUUAAAGGCGCAAUCGCAAUUAUC
rnacentral:lncRNA from 1 species